rnacentral:rRNA from 1 species
AGUUAACGCUGGCGGUAUGCCUAACACAUGCAAGUCGCGCGGGUCCUUGUAGUGUAUCGCAGGGAUUAGCGGCAAACGGGUGAGUAACACGUAAGAAACCUUCCCAUAAGCGGGGGAUACCUCCGAGAAAUCGGAAUCAAUACCCCAUAAGACCACGAGAAGACAUCUUCCUGAGGUCAAACCCGCAAGGGGCUUUUGGAUGGUCUUGCGCUCUAUCAGCUUGUUGGCGGGGUAACGGCCCACCAAGGCUAUGACGGAUAUCCGGCCUGAAAGGGUGAACGGACACACUGGAACUGAGACACGGUCCAGACUCCUACGGGAGGCAG